rnacentral:rRNA from 1 species
GCAUAUCAAUAAGCGGAGGAAAAGAAACUAACAAGGAUUCCCCUAGUAACUGCGAGUGAAGCGGGAAAAGCUCAAAUUUAAAAUCUGGCGGUCUUUGGCCGUCCGAGUUGUAGUCUGGAGAAGUGCUUUCCGCGCUGGACCGUGUAUAAGUCUCUUGGAACAGAGCGUCAUAGAGGGUGAGAAUCCCGUCUUUGACACGGACUACCAGUGCUUUGUGAUGCGCUCUCAAAGAGUCGCGUUGUUUGGGAAUGCAGCGCAAAAUGGGUGGUGAAUUCCAUCUAAAGCUAAAUAUUGGCGAGAGACCGAUAGCGAACAAGUACCGUGAGGGAAAGAUGAAAAGCACUUUGGAAAGAGAGUUAAACAGUACGUGAAAUUGCUGAAAGGGAAACGCUUGAAGUCAGUCGCGUUGUCCGGGACUCAGCCUUGCUUCGGCUUGGUGCACUUUCCGGAUGACGGGCCAGCAUCGAUUUUGACCGCUGGAAAAGGGCUGGAGGAAUGUGGCACCUUCGGGUGUGUUAUAGCCUCCAGUCGCAUACGGCGGUUGGGAUCGAGGAACGCAGCACGCCUUACGGCGGGGGUUCGCCCACCUUCGUGCUUAGGAUGCUGGCAUAAUGGCUUUAAACGACCCGUCUUGAAACACGGACC